CAGCACCUCAAGUGGUAAGGAUGAUUAUUGGGCCUAAAGCAUCCGUAGCCGGCUCUGUAAGUUUUCGGUUAAAUCUGUAUGCUCAACAUACAGGCUGCCGGGAAUACUGCAGAGCUAGGGAGUGGGAGAGGUAGACGGUACUCGGUAGGAAGGGGUAAAAUCCUUUGAUCUAUUGAUGACCACCUGUGGCGAAGGCGGUCUACCAGAACACGUCCGACGGUGAGGGAUGAAAGCUGGGGGAGCAAACCGGAUUAGAUACCCGAGUAGUCC
rnacentral:rRNA from 1 species